UCGAAGGCUUCCCUAGGAUUCGGC
rnacentral:piRNA from 1 species